CACAUAAAGGUAGGCGGGUAUUGAAUGCUGUCCGCAGAAGCUGUCUUUAGUGAGAAGGACGACGGGCGGACAGCUUGGAUCUCACUCCGGCUCUGACCACACUGAUGGGAUGAUGUGCGCUUCAGGACAUUGGCAUGCAGUUAGGACCUGCUGGUUCUCAGUGGCCGUUGAACUAAGUCCUGUACCCUUUACAAGGUCUGUUGUAGACAGAAUGGUGGCCUGAUCUGUCAGAGCUGUGGAGUGUGACAAUGGUGUUUGUGUCUGCUGGUAUCAAACGCCAUUAUCACACUAAAUAGCUAUGACGAGAAACGAGCGCACAGCACCAGAAAUGUCUGAGUUACGGCUCUGGAGCCCAUAAUGUUGAACACAUUAAGGCACCUCUUUAUUUAAUAUAGCACUUUCUAUGAUAAAUGCCAUACAAUUUGCUGUAUU